GCGCAGCAGUCGAGAAUCUUCCACAAUGGACGAAAGUCUGAUGGAGCGACGCCGCGUGCGGGAUGAAGGCCUUAUGGGUUGUAAACCGCUGUCAGGGGGAAGAACAUCGGAAUGAACAAUACUCAUUCCGACUGACGUUACCCCCAGAGGAAGCUCCGGCCAACUCCGUGCCAGCAGCCGCGGUAAUACGGGGGGAGCAAGCGUUGUCCGGAAUUAUUGGGCGUAAAGCGUUCGUAGGCGCUCUGUUAAGUUUUCUGUUAAAUCUCUAAGGCCCAACCUUAGAGCUGCAGAAAAAACUGGCAGGGUAGAGGAUGUCAGGGGCUGAUGGAACUCUCGGUGUAGAGGUGGAAUUCGGUUGAUAUCGAGGGGAACACCAAAAGCGAAGGCAUUCAGCUGGGGCAGUCCUGACGCUGGGGAACGAAAGCGUGGGUAUCGAACGGGAUUAGAUACCCGUGUAGU
rnacentral:rRNA from 1 species